rnacentral:rRNA from 1 species
UACGGAGGGUGCAAACGUUGCUCGGAAUCAUUGGGCGUAAAGCGCACGUAGGCGGACCGCUAAGUCGGAUGUGAAAGCCCUCGGCUUAACCGAGGAAGUGCACUCGAAACUGACGGUCUUGAGUAUGGAAGAGGGUCGCGGAAUUCCCGGUGUAGAGGUGAAAUUCGUAGAUAUCGGGAGGAACACCAGUGGCGAAGGCGGCGACUUGGGCCAAUACUGACGCUGAGGUGCGAAAGCGUGGGGAGCAAACAGG